rnacentral:rRNA from 1 species
GACGAACGCUGGCGGCGUGCCUAAUACAUGCAAGUAGAACGCAGAUGUGAACGGCUGAGUAACGCGUAGGUAACUGCCUGGUAGCGGGGGCUAACUAUUGGAAACGAUAGCUAAUUCCGCAUACUACCCGAUGGACCUGCGUGGUAUUAGCUAGUUGGUGGGGUAACGGCUCACCAAGGCAACGAUACAUAGCCGACCUGGGUGGGGGGUCGGCCACACUGGGACAGAGACGCGGCCCAGACUCCGACGGGAGGCAGCAGUAGGGAAUCUUCGGCAAUGGGGGGAACCCUGACCGAGCAACGCCGCGGGAGUGAAGAAGGUUUUCGGAUCGUAAAGAUCUGUUGUUAAGGAAGCGGUACUUAACCAGAAAGGGACGGCUAACUACGUGCCAGCAGCCGCGGUAAUUC